rnacentral:lncRNA from 1 species
UGGAAUUUGAGGGCACGGGCCCUGCUAUGGCACAGGCAGAUGGUACGAGAUGGAAUUUGAGAGCUUGGGUACUGCUAUGGCACAGGCAGAUGGUACGAGAUGGAAUUUGAGACCAUGGGUCCUGCUAUGGCACAGGCAGAUGGUACGAGAUGGAAUUUGAGGGCACGGGUCCUGCUAUGGCACAGGCAGAUGGUACGAGAUGGAAUUUGAGGGCACGGGUCCUGCUAUGGCACAGGCAGAUGGUAAGAGAUGGAAUUUGAGAGCACGGGUCCUGCUAUGGCACAGGCAGAUGGUAAGAGAUGGAAUUUGAGGGCACGGGUCCUGCUAUGGCACAGGCAGAUGGUAAGAGACGGAAUUUGAGGGCACGGGUCCUGCUAUGGCACAGGCACAUGGUACGAGAUAGAAUUUGAGGGCACGGGUCCUGCUAUGGCACAGGCAGAUGGCACGAGAUGGAAUUUGAGGGCACGGGUCCUGCUAUGGCACAGGCAGAUGGUACGAGCCUGAAUUUGAGAUCAUGGGUCCUGCUAUGGCACAGGCAGAUGGUACGAGAUGGAAUUUGAGAGCACGGGUCCUGCUAUGGCACAGGCAGAUGUUAAGAGCCUGAAUUUGAGGGCAUGCGUCCUGCUAUGGCACAGGCAGAAUCAGCUUCAGGGUGUGACAGCCGCUCUGCUUUCGCCAUCUUGAAAUUCUUAACAAUCUGGCCUUUGAACCUGUGUUUUUUAAGUGAAGUGUGCUGGGACAAUGGAGCACAUCUGUGAUCAGUCACACACACUUUACGUGUCCAUUGUUCCUCAACACCCCACUGGCAGGAGCAUUGUUGAUGUCCCGUGCGCACAGAAUUCCGGUGGACUCCCAGUGCCUGGCAGCUAGUAAGUCAA